AGAGUGCUCCUACUUGUAAACCCCUGCUCCCCAGCUUCCUGCUAUUCCUGUAACAAGCAAAGCAACAUGUGUUUAAAGUCCCACACAAUAUGGAAAGGGCCAAUUUAAUUUGUCCUUAUAAUUUUAGGGGCCUGCUGGUGGCUGUUAUUACUCAGCAGUCCAUGGCUGCAGACAGGCCUUUUAUGAGGGCCUGGAGACGCCGGCGCCACCGGGAACUGCUGGGCUCAGCUAAAACUGCAUUUUUCUGGAAUAAUUUCAUAUCUGAUCCCCUGUUCUGAAAGGGAUGCAAUUGCUUCUCAGGGAUUAAUACAAAAAUUUCUGUGGCUUCAGGGACACCCCCAGCUUCUGACAUGGAUUGUAAACCCUCCAGAGGGCUUUUUCCUCCAAGAAAAUGCAAUGGUGUUUCAAUUAUAAAUCAGCCAAAUCAAGUGAAAUCCUACAGAAGAUAAAGCAAUGUGCACUCCUCCUUGAAUUAUGGCUCUCAAUAUCUGCCCGAAACCCUGAGAACAAAGGCACUUCCAACACAGCCAUGUUUGAGGAUCCAGAGUGCAGCCAUCUUCCCAUGGGAACAAAAAGAGAGAAAAUGGGAACAAACUCAAGAUCCAUGGACAACUCAGAAUGGAGAAACCAGCUCCAGAAAGAAGAGAAAAAUAACAUAUUAAAAGGCUCUCCUUGUUGAAGUG